CUAUAUAUUAAUCAGCAAGCAAAAUUAGCAUUCUAAGAAACUAGGACAUCAAAAAGGGAAGCAUUUAUUGUUCCAUUAUGUCUGGAACAAUAUAAGAAUCCUCAAAUAUUUGUCCACAAUCUAGGAGAAAAAAACUUACCAGCUUCCAUAGCAUUCCUUGCUGCAAUUCUGAAAUCAUUGACAAUUUGAGGGAUUUCAUCUGUCCUUAAUCGCCUAGGAGGUGAGAACUGAGCAACAUCCACUCCAUUAGCUCGAAUUUGUGGUGUCAAUGACUUGUCAGUAGAAGAGAUUGGAGCUUGUCCAUUUGGCUGAAAACCUGUACGUAUAUAGACAUUGACAAGGGAUAAGAAAUUAGUUGGGCCAAUGUCAUCACAUGAAUAUGGAAAUAAAUAUUAAGCAUAUAAUUCCAUCAUAGAAUCAGAAGAGAAGACAUAAUGGAUGUCUAAGGCAAGAACUGACCGUAGUUUGAAACCCUUCCAACAUGCCAAAUCUGACAAAAGAUAAUUCCACCUUUGGCAUGAACAGCAUCAACAAUGGGUUUCCAGGCCUCAACUUGCUCUUUUGUCCAUAUACCAGGUGUAUGCGCGUACCUUCAUAAAUUAGGAAGAAAUAAUAAAAGAAAGUCUCAUUAAAUUAGUUUUUGAGGUAUAAAAAAAUGUAAAAUUUCAACUGUUUAAGAAGUUGCGGUACAUAUGUUAUCUUUUUUAUUUAAAAAAGAAACAGGUUUAAAAAUUACCCUUGAGCCGUGUCAGAAACUCCAGUAGCUUCAGAGAUCAUAAAACCUCCUCUGGAAGUUCUCUGGGAGUAGUAUAGAAUGGCAUCUGGUUGAGGAACAUUAUUGUAAGAUCUUUGUCUUGUCAAUGGUGCCAAUACAACUCUGGGAAUAAAAGAAGAAGAAAAAGAAAAGAGGUAAAUGAUUGAGUAAAUUAUUUAUGCAUCAAAAUUUCCCAGGCGAAGAACAAAGUGAUGCACAUAGUCNGCUUCCAUAGCAUUCCUUGCUGCAGUUCUGAAAUCAUUGACAAUUUGAGGGAUUUCAUCUGUCCUUAAUCGCCUAGGAGGUGAGAACUGAGCAACAUCCACUCCAUUAGCUCGAAUUUGUGGUGUCAAUGACUUGUCAGUAGAAGAGAUUGGAGCUUGUCCAUUUGGCUGAAAACCUGUACGUAUAUAGACAUUGACAAGGGAUAAGAAAUUAGUUGGGGCCAAUGUCAUCACAUGAAUAUGGAAAUAAAUAUUAAGCAUAUAAUUCCAUCAUAGAAUCAGAAGAGAAGACAUAAUGGAUGUCUAAGGCAAGAACUGACCGUAGUUUGAAACCCUUCCAACAUGCCAAAUCUGACAAAAGAUAAUUCCACCUUUGGCAUGAACAGCAUCAACAAUGGGUUUCCAGGCCUCAACUUGCUCUUUUGUCCAUAUACCAGGUGUAUGCGCGUACCUUCAUAAAUUAGGAAGAAAUAAUAAAAGAAAGUCUCAUUAAAUUAGUUUUUGAGGUAUAAAAAAAUGUAAAAUUUUAACUGUUUAAGUAGUUGCGGUACAUAUGUUAUCUUUUUUAUUUAAAAAAGAAACAGGUUUAAAAAUUACCCUUGAGCCGUGUCAGAAACUCCAGUAGCUUCAGAUAUCAUAAAACCUCCUCUGGAAGUUCUCUGGGAGUAGUAUAGAAUGGCAUCUGGUUGAGGAACAUUAUUGUAAGAUCUUUGUCUUGUCAAAGGUGCCAAUACAACUCUGAGAAAAAAGGAAGAAAAAGAAAGAGGUAAAUGAUAGAGUAAGUUAUUUAUGCAUCAAAAUUUCCCAGGCGAAGAACAAAGUGAUGCACAUAGUCAGCCAAUUACCAUUGGUUUUCCUAAUGAACAACAUUCAAGUUAUGCAAACUUGGAUUUUUCAACUAAUCAAUUAGUUAUGGCUUGACAAAGAAAAACAAUAUGCUGACUGGGAUUAUCCAAAAGUUAUACAAAUAUCUACUUGGACGAAAGCAAAAGUCGUGCCAUGAAAAAUGCAGGAAAAUUUA
rnacentral:lncRNA from 1 species